AACCAGCGUCCCAACUGGGACAGACCUCAGACCUAUGAAACCCUACCAUGGAUAUUAUUGUCCCCUGCUGGGUGAUCUUUGGUCUCUUUGGGGCAGGGCAUUUGGUACCUGGUGUCAAGCAAACUCCCAGCCACAAGAUCACUGAGAUGGGACAUCCUGUGACUCUGAGGUGCGACCCCAUUUCUGGUCAAAAUUACAUCUACUGGUACCGACAGACUGCAGAAAGAGGAAUGGAAUUUAUGGCUUAUCUUUAUGACAAUGACCCCAUGGACAAAGCAGACUUUUUCAAGGAUCGAUUCUCACUAGAGAAACCUAAGGGAUCGCACUCCAUUAUGAAGAUCCAGCCCGUGCAGCUGGGAGACUUGGCUGUGUAUCUAUGUGCCAGCAGUGCAGCCACAGCCUCACACAGACAUUUCCUGUCUCUACAAAAACUCAGGUUACCACUAGGACAGAAGGAAAAUUUGGAGCUGUACAGUCUCAUAUUUGACAGGAAGCCUGUAGUUAAUCAUUCAAAGUGGGGGACAUAUGAGGGUGAAGAUGGUGCUGUUGAUUACACACGAGCAACUGACAUAGAGUGGAGGAGUCAAGUUGGUGCGAACGGGAGUGACACACACCCGGAAGGACAGCCACCUCUGGUCGCAAAUUUGAGUGGCGACCUGCCACAAGGCAUUGAUCUCUUGUCCGAUGAGUUGGAUUUCUUCUUGUAG